UACGGAGGGCGCAAACGUUAUCCGGAUUCACUGGGUUUAAAGGGUGCGUAGGUGGGCAAGUAAGUCAGUGGUGAAAUCUCCGGGCUUAACCCGGAAACUGCCAUUGAUACUAUUUGUCUUGAAUACUGUGGAGGUCAGCGGAAUAUGUCAUGUAGCGGUGAAAUGCUUAGAUAUGACAUAGAACACCAAUUGCGAAGGCAGCUGGCUACACAAAUAUUGACACUGAGGCACGAAAGCGUGGGGAUCAAACAGG
rnacentral:rRNA from 1 species